AAGCCUAUUACUUGUGCGACUGUGCCCAGUCUCAACAAUAACUCAGGAGCCCAAUGACAACCCCAUUGCCUUUCUGGAAAGGCUAAAAGAGGCCCUCCAAAAGUUUACCAAUCUGGACUUAGACUCUUAUGAGGGACAGGUGAUUUUAAAGGACAAAUUCUUGUCCCAAUGUGCAUCAGAUAUCAGAAUUAAGUUACAACAGCUACAGCAGCAGUACUCUACUGCCUUUUUAGAUGAGAUGAUCCAGACAGCCACCAAUUCCUUUUAUAACAGAACAGGAGAAGGAGGCCAAGGCCCAAGAGAGGGAGAGAAAAAAAGAGACAAGCCAUGCCUAGAUGCUGGCCGCCCUCCAGAGAAGCCCUAUGGCAAACCCCCAAGUCCUUGAAGGACAAGGCAAAUGCCUAAUCUGUAGACAGGCGGGGCAUUGGGCCAAAGAGUGUCCAAACUGUGACAAGUCUCCUAGUCUCUUGCCACAAAUGCCAUCAACUGGGACACUGGGCGGCACUCUGCCCUUGGGACCCAAGAGUCUCAAGGUCAAAUGCUAAGCCUUCCCUAACGAUGGUUCAAGAGGACUGAAGAUGGUUCAAGAGGCCCACUCCAGCCAGUCUGCCGGUCACAGAUAACCAUCACGGGGCUGGAGCCAAGGGUGCAACUGGAUGUGGCAGAAACCUUGGACCACUGGACAAAACCCCGAGAGGGAUUGUCAGAAGAUCCUCUGACCAAUCCUGAGGAAAUCUGGUACACUGAUGGAAGCAGCUUUGUCUUGGAUGGAAAAAGAAGAGCCAGGAACAUGGAGCUGGUCUUACCCAAAUUAAACCAGUCAAGACCAUGGAUUGAGUGACUGUUCGAUAGAUGAACUUUUGACAUCAGAGGGCCAAAAACGUCACCCUCAGAUCAUGUUGCUGCUGCUGCUGCUGCUGCUGCUGCUGCUAAGUCGCUUCAGUCGUGUUCGACUCUGUGCGACCCCAGAGACAGCAGCCACUAGGCUCCUCCGUCCCUGGGAUUCUCCAGGCAAGAAUACUGGAGUGGGUUGCCAUUUCCUUCUCCAAUGCAUGAAAGUGAAAAGUGAAAGUGAAGUCGUUUAGUCGUGUCCGACUCCUAGUGACCCCAUGGACUGCAGCCUACCAGGCUCCUCCGUCCAUGGGGUUUUCCAGGCAAGAGUACUGGGGUGGGGUGCCAUUGCCUUCUCUGCAGAUCAGGUUAAUGACACCAUUUUCUGAACAUACAUCCCAUGAAGCAGCAUGUAACUCAGAUACAUCUGUGCAGAACCCCAAUUACUUUACCUUUUUCUUCAGUCAUUUUUCCCUACACCUCAGACCACCCUGCUUCCUUAUCCCACAAGUAUCUUGAGCCCCUCACCUUCAUGAAAGUGGAUUUAAGACUUGUUCUCUUGUCUCUGUGCUUGGCUGCCUUGUGUAUAAACCCUUUCUCUGCUGCAUACCUUGGCGUCUCAGGAUUUGGCUUACUGUGAGUCAGGCAAAUGAACCUGGUAUGGUAAUAUAAGGGAUGGACAUAUCAGCUAGGAUUAGAAUCAGCUGCAUGUAACAAAAACUGAAACAACAGUGGCUUAAAUAAGAAGUUUAUUAAAUUGUUCAAGAAGUCUGAAUUAGUGUGACAGCUUCACCAGUACUCUAGACCUUCCAGCUGUCUUUCUGCUCUGCCAUUCUCAGGAGCAUGGCUCCAUCCUCAAUGAUGCAAGCCUGAGAUGGCUGCCAGCAGUUGUGCAAUCCCAUCCAGGUUCCAGGCAGGAAGAAGGGACAAAAGGGGAAGUUCUAGCUGAGUCAGCUCUUCCCAGAAGUCCCACUCAACUCACUUUUACUUGAUCCACUGACCACACCUAGGCAAGUGGGACAGUGUAGCCUUUUAUAGGUCCAUUACCACUCUAAAAAAUAAGGUUCUGUUACUAACAGUGAAGAGGAAAAUGUGUAUCAAGUAGGCAAACCGUAGUUUCUUCCAGAGUGGACAAAAAGAAACCUACAAAUGAAGUUAAGAAAGAAUGGUCAGUGUAAUAGGAGAGGAACCAAAAGUAGGGAGCCUGUGGCUGUGGCCUGACUCAGUUUCAUUACUGGUAAUUGGUCUGCUCAUAUUUUCUAUCCAUAUUUCCUCUUGACUCAGUCUUGGAAAUUUGUGUGUUUCUAGCAGUUUAUCCAUUUCUUCUCCAUUGUCCAUUUUGUUGGUGUAUAGUUCACAGUAAUCUCUUAACGAUCCUUUGUAUUUCUGUGCUGUCAGUUGAAAGAGGCUUCAUCUUUCAUUCUUGAUGUUAUUUGGGCCCUCUCUUUUACUUGAUGAGUCUGGCUACAGGUUUAUCGAGUUUGCUUAUCUUUUCAAAGGACCAACUCUUAGUUUCAUUUCUUUCUUUUUAAAAAUUUUUUUGACUGCGCUGGGUUCUGGUUGUUGCAUGUGGGCUUUCUCUAGUUGCAGCCAGCCAGGCUACUUUUUCUUGCGGUGCUUGGGCUUCUUAUCGCAGGGACUUCUCUCAUUGUGGCACACAGGCUUAGUUGCUCCGUGGCAUGUGGAAUCUUCUUGGACCAGGUAAUCAAACCUGUGUCCCCUGCAUUGGCACGUGGAUUCUUAUCCACUGUACCACCAGGGAGGUCCUCUUUUCUUUCCUUUAGUCUCUAUUUCAUUAUUUCUGCUCUGAUCUUAGUAUUCUUUCCUUCUACUAACUUUGUGUGUGCUUAAUCAUGUCUCUUUGCAACUCUUUGGACUGUAGCCCGCGAGGCUCUUCUGUCCAUGGGGUUUUUCAGGCAAGAAUAUUGCAGUGGGUUGCCAUUCCUUCUCCAGGGGAUCUUCCUGACCCAGGGAUCGAAACUUUGUCUCCUGUGUCUCCUGCAUUGCAGGAGGAUUUUUUACCUGAUGAGCCAUGAGAGAAGCCCAGUUUUGGGUCUUGUUUGUUUUCCUUUCUCUAGUUCCUUUUGGUGUAAAUUUAGGUUAUUUGUAAGCAUUGGUUCUUUAACUAUUUUUCCUCCCUUAAUAUUAUUAUGUGCAUACCGAAAAAUUUAGUCUCUUAACCUUGUCUGAUUUAGAAAGUUAAAAAUCUAUCUGAUAGAUCCCUUCUCAGUCUCUAACCUGUGUACAUAGCACACAGUGUUUGCAUGUUUGUUUGACUAGCAUGCUGAUAAUAAAAAAAAUUAUUUAUGUACUUUAUUCAUUUAUUUUUGGCUACAUUGGGUCUUUUUUGCUGCACAUGGGC
ensembl:lncRNA